rnacentral:rRNA from 1 species
AACGAACGCUGGCGGCAUGCCUAACACAUGCAAGUCGAACGAAGCCUUCGGGCUUAGUGGCGCACGGGUGCGUAACACGUGGGAAUCUGCCCUUCGGUUCGGAAUAACAGUUAGAAAUGACUGCUAGUACCGGAUGAUGACGUAAGUCCAAAGAUUUAUCGCCGAAGGAUGAGCCCGCGUAGGAUUAGGUAGUUGGUAGGGUAAUGGCCUACCAAGCCGACGAUCCUUAGCUGGUCUGAGAGGAUGAUCAGCCACACUGGGACUGAGACACGGCCCAGACUCCUACGGGAGGCAGCAGUGGGGAAUAUUGGACAAUGGGCGAAAGCCUGAUCCAGCAAUGCCGCGUGAGUGAUGAAGGCCUUAGGGUUGUAAAGCUCUUUUACCAGGGAUGAUAAUGACAGUACCUGGAGAAUAAGCUCCGGCUAACUCCGUG